GGUUCUGCUGUUAUUUAAUAAGUAGCAGAGGUUCUGAUUACCCUCUUGUUGUCUUAUUUGGUAUCACCAAGAACUUGCUACAUCUACUUCAAGGGAAUAAAAUGAUACCAGAAUAGAUUUAUGGAAAAUGAAAACAGGAACUGGCAAAGUCAACGCUAUUUCACAAUUAUUUGCUAAAGGAGUUUGCAACACUUGGAUUUAGUUGCUUUUCUCUCUCUCUCUCUCUCUCUUGUGCUGUUUCAAAUGAAUUAGCCUGAAUUUAAAACAUCUUGAGCUUGCCAGAAUGCCACGUGCCUAGCCCGGAGGAGGAGGAGGAGGAGGAGGAGGAGGAGGAGGAGAAGGAAGACUCUAUGAAAACUCCCAAGUAUUGAUUUUCAUUUCACAUGCUCUGCUCCAAUUUCCCCUAAAUCGGGAAGCUGAUUUCUCUGUAACCUCAAAUGAGCUUGAGCUGCCUCUUUAGAGAACAGAAAGAACAAUAUCCCCUUUUAAAGAGAAGCCGCUCCUGCUGUGGUGUAGGGGCCACCCGUCUGCUCCAUGGUCCAAGGACAGACUGGCGAGGCUUCGAAACAUCUCUGAACCUCGGCAUCACCGUUUCUGAGUCCACGCCACGUGCUCCAGAAAGGCUGCUGAGAGGCUAAUCUAUCCCCUGUCAGUGAGACACGUUUGUGCAAGAGUUUUAAUUCUGCACAAGUUAGUGAAUGGGGCGAUCCCGGGAGCCAUCAUCACAGUCAUGAUCCGGAAUAGAACUCAACAAUGUACGGGCACAACCCUAACUGCACCUCCCAUGCUUAAAUGAAAUAGUUUCAACAGGACUACCUCUGAUCUGGUUCCGGCAAACGUGUAAUCUAUGGUAGAUUUCCUCCAGUUCUCUCGAAGUAAGAAGAUUCUGCCAUGAAAAGACAUGGAGUGGAGGACAGGACGUGAAACACAUAUAUGGCCUUUUCCGAUAUAUUCUGUCUGGCUACUGCCUGCCCCUACACUCUUCUUUCUAGGGACUUCCCUCCCAUUACAGAAACACAGGGCUUCGAGUCUCCAGGUGUUGGAGAGUGCUCUUCUCUCUGAACGUGAUGCCCCUAUCUCAAGACCUGUCCGCACAGAGGUGCAACGGGCUUUUCUCCUGACCGUGAAAGAAGCAGACUUUGCCUCCAUUUGCACAUUCAUUUCAAUAUUCCUCAUCUAGACGUGUGCCAGCUCUUUGGAUUCUUCCGGUUUUAACAUCUGCCCAGUUCCCUCACUGACUCAUGAGCCACAUGAAAUUUGGAGCACAUGGCUAUUUUCUAUCUGUAUGGGAGUCAUAAUAUUAUCCUUAUUGGAAAAUGAUCAUUAGCGAAAGUGAGUUUUGACCAGAGCCCAUGCUCUUUGCUCUCAUCCUGUUCAUCAACCAACCAUCACUGAACACCUACUUAGUUCCAGGCCCCCGUGUUGGGUGCUGGGGGCCAACGAUGAGUAAAACAUGGUUCCUAACAUCCAGCGACUCCAGGUCACAAUACUGAGACAGGCGGAACACACAUAGAAGCUGUGGGAGCAAAGUGAGGAGUCCCUAGCCCCCACUUGGAACAUGGAGAAAGUUUCCUGAGAAUCCAGUAAUAAUUAAGAUAAGAAGAUAAUCACAUUACAACAGAUACUAAACUUCAAUCCAAAAACAUUGGACAAAAUAUAAUUUUAUGGUGACUGGUACUUAAGUGAAGUGAGGUAAACCUUGGCAACAUCUGGUUUCUUAUGAGAUAUGUUAGUAAUGACACUUGGCCUACGCUACAUUUUAAAUAACAACGUACCCUUUUCCAAAGAAUAUAGAUCAAUGCUCCCAAAUCCCGUGAACAUAACUGAUUAGUUGGCAUUGUUCAAACAAUAAUCGUCAAACAGCCAUCCCUGUGGGGGGAAAAAAAGUACAUAGCUACACAACAACGGGACCAGGCCAAAGGAAAUGCAAGUAUGUGUGGAUUUGAAAUUAAAACUAAGACACACAUAUAUCUAACUGAGCUCAGGACUGGUUAUCCCCAUGCAAGCUCAUCUCUUCACCAGGUCAACUGAUUUUAUUCAUCUUUGUAUUCCAAGUGCCAUGCCCAAUUCAUUUAUUCAUUUAUUCAUCCAUUAUCUGCUAACCCCUCAUUCAUUCUAAAAUGUGAAUGCCCAUUUGGGUCGAUAGAUGCUUGAGGGGGUAUGUAAUGAAAGAAGACUCAAUUCUUGUCUUCAAAAGUCUCACAGCCUUGUGGAUAGGGAUGGGGGGCAAGGUCUACAUGUAAAUACCCAUAAGGCAAAGUAGUUGUGUUCUACUCUAGGUUAUAUUUAGAGGGAGGGAAGAGCAGAGUAGACAGUGAUAACUUGGGUGUGAGUAGGCAGAGAAGUUUCUACCAAAGCGAAGAUGCAAGGUGAGGCUGGGCCAGACAAAUCUAACAUGGAAGCUCAUUCCCAUUUUCAAAAGCAUGUGUUUCAAGAACGUCGUUAAAGUAUAAUGUUUGCAAAGCUAAAAGCAUGCCUUUCCUACACAUAUAAAACAGUGUCAAAGAUUUCAUUCAUCUCCUUAAUUAACAAGAUGUUAAAACUAGUUCAAAUGAGAAAUUAAUGUAAGAGUAAGAUUCAAGAUUGGAUACAAACCUGGUUAAUGUCUCACAGGCCAAAAAACAGUGAUCUUCCGGUUAUUUAGAGAGGAUCCUGACCAUGCUGCACUUACCUGUAGGUUCAGCGAGCUGGGCUAAACACCCUACUCAACAUCCACCUGUCUUGGGGUUGUGUGAACCCUUCCAGUCGAGCUCGCAAUGAUCCUGGCAGGGAAACUGAUUGGAUGACAAAAGGUCUCAACCAUCCUUGUUCUCUGUGUCCCUUUUUCCUAGGUUUUACUUGAAGGAUAUAAUGAAAGUUUAUAGGAAAGAAGUAUUUAGGCAUUUGGUAUUUAGUAAAGGGAAACACAUCAUAUUUUAAGGUCCAUGGUGUCAUAAAAAUUAACUAUAAUUUGGAAAUAGGUGUUAGAUCAUACUGGGUGUUCUCCCAGUGCAGUUCUGGGCUUUGAGCCUUGAUUGGCUUUCUAGUGACUGGGCUAUUACUAUAAAUUCUGUAAGGGCUGAAGUUAACUUGCAGUUUUCCUUUCCUUCCCUUUCCUUUCCUUUCCUUUCCUUGUUUGCUUUCCUUUCUUUACUUUUCUUUUCCUUUCUUUAUUUAUUUUUUAUUUUAUUUUAUUUUUGGUAGAGAUGCAAAAUUUCUGACUGUAUUGAGCUCACAUGGUUCGCACUACAAUGACCUCAAUGGUAUUUCAAUGGCAGCGAGUUUCCCCAGUUUGGGGCUUUUCCAUGUCAAAAGUAGUGGUGGGAACAGCACAAUGAGUUGAUUUGCCAAAUCUCACUCUCCCUCCCCAGAGCUCUGAGAAGAUUCAACCAGCACAGAAUAAGAGAGGGGCUGGUGUUUUUAAGAAAUAACUUGUUAUGACUGACAAGUUAUUUGGGGCAUGGGGGCAAUGGGGCAAAGUGGUAUGAACAAGUUGUGACUUGUGUUCAUGAGCGUGCAGAUUCUGAAUCCUGGACCUGAAUGAAAGGCAAGGGAUU